rnacentral:rRNA from 1 species
CAGCAGCCGCGGGAAUACGUAGGGUGCGAGCGUUAAUCGGAAUUACUGGGCGUAAAGCAUGCGCAGGCGGUCGUGUAAGACAGGUGUGAAAUCCCCGGGCUUAACCUGGGAACUGCGCUUGUGACUGCACAGCUAGAGUAUGGCAGAGGGGGGUGGAAUUCCACGUGUAGCAGUGAAAUGCGUAGAGAUGUGGAGGAACACCGAUGGCGAAGGCAGCCCCCUGGGCCAAUACUGACGCUCAUGCACGAAAGCGUGGGGAGCAAACAGGAUUAGAUACCCGGGUAGUCCCUGUCUCUUAUAU